GUUAUAUGGUCAAGUGAAGAAGCGCAUACGGUGGAUGCCUUGGCAGUCAGAGGCGAUGAAAGACGUGGUAGCCUGCGAUAAGCUUCGGGGAGUCGGCAAACAGACUUUGAUCCGGAGAUCUCUGAAUGGGGGAACCCAACCAGCACAAGCUGGUUAUCUUGCACUGAAUACAUAGGUGCAAGAGGCGAACCAGGGGAACUGAAACAUCUAAGUACCCUGAGGAAAAGAAAUCAACCGAGAUUCCCUUAGUAGUGGCGAGCGAACGGGGACUAGCCCUUAAGUGGCUUUGAGAUUAGCGGAACGCUCUGGAAAGUGCGGCCAUAGUGGGUGAUAGCCCUGUACGCGAAAAUCUCUUGGCCAUGAAAUCGAGUAGGACGGAGCACGAGAAACUUUGUCUGAAUAUGGGGGGACCAUCCUCCAAGGCUAAAUACUACUGACUGACCGAUAGUGAACCAGUACCGUGAGGGAAAGGCGAAAAGAACCCCGGAGAGGGGAGUGAAAUAGAUCCUGAAACCGUAUGCGUACAAGCAGUGGGAGCAGACUUCGUUCUGUGACUGCGUACCUUUUGUAUAAUGGGUCAGCGACUUAUUUUCAGUGGCGAGCUUAACCGAAUAGGGGAGGCGUAGCGAAAGCGAGUCUUAAUAGGGCGUCUAGUCGCUGGGAAUAGACCCGAAACCGGGCGAUCUAUCCAUGGGCAGGUUGAAGGUUAGGUAACACUGACUGGAGGACCGAACCGACUACCGUUGAAAAGUUAGCGGAUGACCUGUGGAUCGGAGUGAAAGGCUAAUCAAGCUCGGAGAUAGCUGGUUCUCCUCGAAAGCUAUUUAGGUAGCGCCUC
rnacentral:rRNA from 1 species